rnacentral:tRNA from 1 species
GGACCGUUGGCGCAGUCUGGUAGCGCGCCUCCCUGACACGGAGGAGGUCACUGGUUCAAGUCCAGUACGGUCCACCA